rnacentral:lncRNA from 1 species
AUUUGUCAGUCGCCAAUGGCGAGCUGGUGACCGUUAUUUCGAGCCCUGUUCAUAUUUAUUAUAGGAAGGUUUUCUGGGACCUCACAAGUGCAUAUGGAAUGUUUGAAAAAUAUAAAGAAAUUAAUUUUCAAUGAAAUCACCAUGACAGUUUAAGCAUUUGUUGGAUCACAGAACUUUUCCAUCUCUGCUUAAAAAAGUUAUAUUUCUACUGAUCCAGUCAUCUUUUUGCAAUUGUUUUAAUAUCAUCACAAGUGAAUUGAGUAUAACAGACAAAUGUUGUUUCAGGACAAGAAAAAGAUAAAAAUUGCUAGGGUCAAAUCUGGAUUAUAUAGAGGAUGGUUCCACACCUCUUAUUUAUACUAUGGAGCAAUUGCCAUGUGAUCUGAGCAGUGUGGGGCCAUUAUUAUGAAUGAGAAUGAUUCAUUGCUUAGCAGACCUGGGCACUUUCAUUAGUUGGCUUUUCACAGUUUUCUGAGAGUGGUACAGUUUCUAUCAGUAUUGAUGGUGGGUGUGUCCAUGUUCCAAGAAGUUCACCAGAACAACACCUGAGAAAUCCAAAAAAUAGUGGCCAUGACUAUACCAACAGUUGGUGCCACUCUAAACUUUUUGUUAGUGUAAAUAAAAUGCAUUGUGACUGGAGAUGUGUCUCAUCUUCAAUCACAAUGUGGUCAAUAAAGUGCUCCAUUUUGCACCAUAAUGCUAAAGGAACAUCAGACUGACCAUUAUUUAUUUGGAUUUUUUGAUCAUCAGAUAAUGCAUGUGUGGCAUCGAUCUGGCACAAACCUUUUUGUACUGCAAAACAUCCAUCAUAAGAUAUUGAACAAUAUCAUAGUUCAGUCUCAGCUUAGAUUCAGUAUCAUGCAAAAUUAUCCUUCAGUCCCGUUUAAUAAUAAUUUAUCAGCAUGUGCCAUGUUGACUUCUCUUGUUGAUGAACUUGGUCAUCCACUAUAUUGCAUUUGGUGGCCUACCACAACAUCCCUGCUGAAAUGAAAUAUGUGAUUUCAUUUUGCCAUAUGUUUAGACAUAAUACUUCUACCAUAAAUUUUGAACUGAUAGUGAAUUUCAGUUGUGGGCACAUUCUUGGGCCCUUGAAAAUUUCUCUCUCACUUCAAUUUGAGACCACUUUUCCAAAUAUCUCUCCAUUUUGAACUAUUACUGUACAUCUAUGGCUGACAGGAGAUUGCUAAAUAAUUAGUACGAAAGCAGAAAU